rnacentral:misc_RNA from 1 species
GAUGAAGAACGUAGCGAAAUGCGAUAAGUAAUGUGAAUUGCAGAAUUCAGUGAAUCAUCGAAUCUUUGAACGCACAUUGCGCCCGCCAGUAUUCUGGCGGGCAUGCCUGUUCGAGCGUCAUUUCAACCAUCAAGCCCCCGGCUUGUGUUGGGGACCUGCGGCUGCCGCAGGCCCUGAAAAGCAGUGGCGGGCUCGCUGUCACACCGAGCGUAGUAGCAUACAUCUCGCUCUGGGCGUGCUGCGGGUUCCGGCCGUUAAACCACCUUCAUAACCCAAGGUUGACCUCGGAUCAGGUAGGAAGACCCGCUGAACUUAAGCAUAUCAAAAGCGGAGGA